rnacentral:rRNA from 1 species
GAUGAACGCUGGCGGCGUGCCUAAUACAUGCAAGUCGAGCGAACGGACGAGAAGCUUGCUUCUCUGAUGUUAGCGGCGGACGGGUGAGUAACACGUGGAUAACCUACCUAUAAGACUGGGAUAACUUCGGGAAACCGGAGCCAAUACCGGAUAAUAUUUUGAACCGCAUGGUUCAAAAGUGAAAGACGGUCUUGCUGUCACUUAUAGAUGGAUCCGCGCUGCAUUAGCUAGUUGGUGAGGUAACGGCUUACCAAGGCAACGAUGCAUAGCCGACCUGAGAGGGUGAUCGGCCACACUGGAACUGAGACACGGUCCAGACUCCUACGGGAGGCAGCAGUAGGGAAUCUUCCGCAAUGGGCGAAAGCCUGACGGAGCAACGCCGCGUGAGUGAUGAAGGUCUUCGGAUCGUAAAACUCUGUUAUUAGGGAAGAACAUAUGUGUAAGUAACUGUGCACAUCUUGACGGUACCUAAUCAGAAAGCCACGGCUAACUACGUG